AUUUAAACAGCUAGACACUGAAAUCGUUGCGUAAGAUCAAAUGAUUUCAAAGAACACACAGCCUACACUUAAGAUUAUCCAAGAAAAUAACAAGUUCGCAAUAGAAAUAAGCAAAUGUCUUUAGUCAACUGAGUUAAAUACAUUGCCCAAAGUAAAAGGAUCUCUGGCCACGCAAAUUAUCAAGAUGCAUUAACAUCUUUCCCUUGAUAUCGCCCCGAUUAUUAUGCCUACAAUUAAGAGUAUUCGGCCGCAGUGACCAAAGUGCCUAAUGAAGAUGGAACAUCAGAGUCAAGAAGAUGAAUUGCUAGAGAGCAAAGCAUAAUAAUUUAAUUUAAAUUUCCAGCCUGUGUGCAAAUAAUGUAAAACAUUCCUGCACAUUUUAAGUGCUGCUGCAAAUUGACUGUCAGUCAGGCAAAGCGGCCACAAACAUCAGAAACUGCAGCGACAACUGCAACAACUUUUGAACAACUACAGCAACAGCAAUAAGAGUUACGAAAACAAUAACCACACAAUGACAAUGCAAGGCAAUAUUCGCAUAUUAUACAAACAAUAAACAUUGUUAAUUAAUUUACUUCAACUCGAGCGGCAACUGCACUUUGGCCCACUCUACCGAAAAGGAUGACUUUAAGCUUGUGGAACGCAUGCAAAGUCACAUAAGGAAAUAAUCCCAAUACUUUCAGGGCGGCCUACUGUGAUUAAAAAAAAUGUAAACUUGAAACCUCAUUAAUAAAAUAUAAAGAACAUUGAGAGUGUUUCACAUUUUUUUCUUUAAAGUACCAAAACUCCAUUGGCAUGUCCACGAAAUAACUUUCCAGAACACUCAUCGAAGCUCCCAUGGAAUUCACUUAUUAACGCUUAUAUGAUAUGGCGCUUACUUCGGGCUUUUGAUAACUUGUGGCAUAUUUCACGAGCAGUGGCUAUAAUGCCUCAUGCAAGCGGUAUCAUUAUAAAUAAUGACUCUGAUUAAAUAUGAUGUAAUCCUUUGCCAGGGCUACCGAAUCGGGCAUUUUUUAAAUGCUGCAAACUUAAUUAAGCAUUUAUCAUAGUCGGCAGAGGAAAGGGAAGUGCUGGAUGAGAUAAGGCGAUUGGAGGAUGGAACAGACAAGUGCAUUAAUUAACGGUCUGCUGUCCCUGGUAACUGACCAUAAAGGAUUUGCGUUAUUAAUUGAACGAUUUUCGGAUCAAUAUUCUACAAUUCGCAUUGGGAGCUGCGCACUCCCGGGCCACACCUUCCACAUUGCAUUAUACCUUUUAUUUUUAGUAAUUUGUUCGUUUGGGCCAUUUAAGAAUAACUGUCACGUACGUCUGGCAUGGCCCGAACACACUUACCAUUUCAUCAAAGUAAAUCGAGCUUGAAUUGAUUUCGCACACAUAAGCCGUCCGUAUCAGCCUCCUUUCCACAAAAACUACCUUGGCUUGGCCCUAAUGUGUGUCAUUUGGCCGGCAGUUAUCUUUGGGCCAAAUGCACAAAGGAGCGGUAAUUUUCCGAACAUUUCCUUUUUGGCCAAAAACAAAGGACCACGGCGGUAGUUUAUUUUUUUUUUUUUUGUUUGAUUCGAUUUUCUUUUCUUGUUAGCUAAGUGAAUUUUUAUUUGACAUACCUUUUAGUAUUUGUCCAUUAUAUUUAUUCGAUUGGGGACUUUAAUAUAAUUUCAUAUUUACUUCAGUUAUUAUGUUCAUUGCUAAUAAAAGUUUAUGAAACUGAAAGUGUAGAAUUUCAAAACUAAA